rnacentral:rRNA from 1 species
GAUGAACGCUGGCGGCGUGCCUAAUACAUGCAAGUCGAGCGAACGGACGAGAAGCUUGCUUUUCUGAUGUUAGCGGCGGACGGGUGAGUAACACGUGGAUAACCUACCUAUAAGACUGGGAUAACUUCGGGAAACCGGAGCUAAUACCGGAUAAUAUUUUGAACCGCAUGGUUCAAAAGUGAAAGACGGUCUUGCUGUCACUUAUAGAUGGAUCCGCGCUGCAUUAGCUAGUUGGUAAGGUAACGGCUUACCAAGGCAACGAUGCAUAGCCGACCUGAGAGGGUGAUCGGCCACACUGGAACUGAGACACGGUCCAGACUCCUACGGGAGGCAGCAGUAGGGAAUCUUCCGCAAUGGGCGAAAGCCUGACGGAGCAACGCCGCGUGAGUGAUGAAGGUCUUCGGAUCGUAAAACUCUGUUAUUAGGGAAGAACAUAUGUGUAAGUAACUGUGCACAUCUUGACGGUACCUAAUCAGAAAGCCACGGCGAACUACGG